rnacentral:rRNA from 1 species
UACGAAGGGGGCGAGCGUUGUUCGGAAUUACUGGGCGUAAAGCGUGCGCAGGCGGCUUCUCAAGUCAGGGGUGAAAGCCCAGAGCUCAACUCUGGAAUUGCCUUUGAGACUGAGUGGCUUGAGUACGAGAGAGGUGAGUGGAAUUCCCAGUGUAGAGGUGAAAUUCGUAGAUAUUGGGAAGAACACCGGUGGCGAAGGCGGCUCACUGGCUCGUAACUGACGCUCAUGCACGACAGCGUGGGGAUCAAACAGG